ensembl:lncRNA
UGAAUAUGCAGAUUUAGAAUGGGAUUUCUUCCUUUCCAGGCAUAUUGUGCAGUCAAGUCCUUGGCAAGGUCUAGCUUUUACAGAUGGGCUCUCUGAUGGGAUGACUCACCGUGGCGGGCAACAUCUAUGUCAAGAAAGCUCACACCGUCUCGAGACCCCCAAAAGGGGGAACAUUUGGAUGGGGAACUGUAUAACUCUGGUGACAGCCUCUGCGCACUUGUGCAACUUUAUGGCCUGAUUUCCCCAGUCCAGACCCAAGCAGGGACAGUAAGCAUACACCACUGCCGAGAGCAGGAAAGGGAAGGGACUAACCGGAGGGCGAGGGCGAGGUCUGUGUCACUGGACAAGCAGCCUUGCAGGCAGCAGUUACUAUGGAACACGUACCUCUGUCUUCAGCUUGAUCAGCAUGUCUGGCUUCUGGCUCUAAGUCUUGGUCCAGGAAUGCUGUGCUGUUCUCUCCCGUAACUGCACAGAAUGUGUUUGCCUUGUUGAAGGCCAGCCCAGGACUAAUUUUGAAAAGUGAAUCUGGAAAACCGCUUGAUUUCAUUUCCCUGGAGAUUUUUCUGGGACAAAGUUAGAAGGGACAGUAAGGAAGAAGAAUCUAGGACCUGGAUUGUGUGUAAAAUAUGUGUAUUUAGGGUUUCUGGAAGAAAAGAUGAUCGUGAGCCCUUCAACAAGAAUGUGGUUUCAUUACGCAUCUUCUGAAGGCAGCCCAUGGUCUUCCGCAGCAUCAGCAUCACUUUGGAUUUCCAUCAACAAGGCAGAAAGCUCUCGGUCUCUCUACUCCUUGCUAAUACUCGUGUCUUGGUUUUGGGAUAAUAGUCAUCCUAACAUUGGAAGAUUUAAACAACAGAAAGAAAACUUGUAGUGUCCAGGAAGCCCGUGAUUUCCUGCCCUUCAGCUUACUUGGAUUUGGUGAAGUCAGAGGAGAUGGGCCUGCAAAGCAUUUAUUGUCUGGGUCAUGGGGAUUACAGGUAACAGGUGAACCCGGAGGAACCACAUCACAGGAGCCAGGCUGUUUUGCACUGAAGCUGUUGAGCUUGUCAUGCAUAUGGUUGUCUCCAGAACCACCCAGCCCUCCUGAGAAACAACUAACACUAAUCUCAGAGGAUGACUGAGCUGAGCAAGAAAGACAGACACACUGGCAUCUCCAUCUUUUGGGCACUUGACUUUUUAUUCUGGGUUUUGAAAACCAACACAUUUUCUCUUUUGUCUAAGUCAGUUUGGGACUAGUUUCUCAUAGCAGUAACUGUCGCCCUGAAACACACAGUUAGAUGGAUAAAGAUUUACAUUUUAAGAUCAUUUCUUUGAUGAGUCUGUGAAAGGAAGAUGUGUGACAGUAAGACUGGAGGCAGAGAUCUAAUUAGGAAUCUAAUACAAUAAACAGAGGGAGACGAGGCUGUGUCAGCAAGCUCAGAGAAGGGCAUGGGAUCUGUUACUUACGAGAACUAGAGUGUUCACAAUGGGGUGUCUCAUUGUGAUGGCAGUUCAAGAAGCAGCCAGAAGUCACCAUCUCUAUGGCCUGUGGUAUGAGGAUGGUGAUGUCCUUGAAUAAAUGCUCAAUACGCAGGGAGGCCUGGUGUAGUGGUGAAAUGGGCCAUUCUGGGCAUGUUGAGUUAUGGGCUUGUGCAAGAGCAAAUAGACACAGCCAGAGACCACGUAUGAAAGGUCAGAGCCUUGGGUCUGAGAAGGCCUGCCUGCUGUUCAGAGCAGCCAUGUAGGUUAGACAUCCCAGGAAGGGUGUGCAGUGCAGAGGGGCGGAGCCUGAGCGUGGAACUCUGGGAAAGUAUAGAGGAGAAGCAGGCUAAAUGUUGCCAGAGAAUGUGUACAGCCAUGCUGAGGCUUGGAGCAGCUGAGCAUGUGGGCUGUGCAGGGCGCCCCUGGACCUCUGAGUGGGUUUUGUGAUUGGUGUGGUUCUUGUGAGCUUUGGAAGAGGGGCUCUGUGUGACCUUGAGAAGAGUAAGAGCUUUACAGCAGCUGCCACCUCUGCCCAUGGUGCUAGUGUGACGUUGUACAAGUUGAGACUUCCUCUCCCAGUCUAUGCAAUGCAGAUAGUAUGUCAUCACGAUGGGAUUGUUGUGGGGUGUCAGGGAGGUAUUAAUGAAAUCCUACGUCCAGAGCCUGCCACACAAAGACGUUCAAUGCAGGCCAGUCUCUUUCUUGCCAUGCUCUCCCUGUCAGCGCUGGCCACUGGCCACUUCUGUCUAUUGUUCAGAGGCAGAAGAGAAGAAGGUGACCUUCAAGUACCUGGAAUCAUUAAGCCUCAGCUGGCUUUGAAUUCGUUAUGUAGCCCAGCCUGUCCUUGAACUCCUGACCCUUCUGCCUUCAUUUCCCAAGCCCUGGAAUUACAGGCCUGUACCACCAUACCUACUUGCUGAAUAGUACUCAUGUCUCCUUCUUGUUCCUAUAACAAUUGAUAUAAAAGGUGGUAAGUAAGCAUGAAGAAGCAUUCAGAGAAGAGGGCGUGGGACCGUGGUGGUGGAAGGAAGAGGCGCUAGUCUCUAGCUCCCAGUGCUGAGGGAUCCCUGACUACACAGGGAUGAGCUGCUACUUAACUAUUGUGGACAGAACCAGUGCUGCUUGACGAUGGGCCACCAGUGGCCUUUGAAGUAGAAUCCUAGUUAAGCCUGAAGGCUAUUCAGGAAGGCAGAGCCCUUGUAGGGACACUGGAGAGUGGAAGGAGCUUUGCUCAUGAUAGGGGGUAUUUAAGGGGAUGGAAAGGUAUUGUUAUUUUCUUUUUCUAUUUUGUGUGUGUGUGUGUGUGUGUGUGUGUGUGUGUGUGUGUGUGUGUGUACUUGCAUGUAUACACAUGUAUUUGCAAGUGCUUGUAGAGGCCCUGGGUUGUUGUUGGGAAUCACUCAUAAUUGCUCUCACCCUGCUCAUUGAGGCAGAGUCUUUCCAUCAAACCCAGAGUUCACAGAUACAGCUGGCCUUGCUAGUCAGUGUGCUCCAUGGAGUCCCUGUCUCCACCCAAGUCUAGAAUGACAGAAGUCAUUCAUGUGGGUUUCUGAGGACCCAAACUCUCAUCCUCACACAUAUAUUGCAAAUACUUGAAUCACUAUCCAUCUCCUCAGUUCUGGGGCUUGCUACUUUCAUGGCAGUGUAUGUCCUGAAGAAGGCAAACUGGAGGGAAACUCAUCACACACAUGUCCCCCACACGGUAUGGGAAGCACUUUGAGUAAUCUGGUAGUUGUAGUAGGGGCAGACUCUCCUCACAGCAGUGCCAUUGGAAGAGUUUUCUGAGGCUCACCUCAUAGAAAGGGUGGAAGCAUGUAAGUUUACUCAAACUUUGUAAAUAACAUUUUAUUCCCAAUUGUCUCUAACUGAUAACCUAUAAAACACAAAUUCAUUUUGAAUAUAAAUUCAGAAAAUAUCUGAUAUUUUGUGUAUAAGAACUAUAACUUUAUUCAGUUACUUUUAUGGUGGUGUAUAUCUUUAAUCCUAGUACUUGGGAGGCAGAGGCUGGUAGAUUUCUGUGAGUUUAAGGCCAGCCUGGCCUAUAUAGUGAGUCCCAGAACAGUUAGAACUACAUAGUAAGACCCUGUUUCAAAAACUAAAACAAACAGAAGAAAGAAAUAUUACCGUAUUAAAGAAAUCCUUAAAACUAUCUGGUUUCCCAUUUCAUACCCCAAAUAUGGCCAGGAAGAAGAAGCCUCUAUUAUGGAGUUUAGAAAGGUUAUAUGUCUUGAAAGUCUGAGAAAGACAGGUUGACAGGUCUCUGUCCCUUCGCAGAUGUUAAGAUCAACACAGGAUCUGAAUUUUAAGAGAUUCCUUCAAAGGCUAGUGCACAUAUCCUUUUGACUGGUUUAAUUAACCCAUAUAGAUCAUUUUUUGUUAAGGUGAUAUUUGAUUAACUUCCCUUCAGCCCCUGGGAGGGUCUUAAGCAUGAGAAUUUCAUAUUCAUACACCAGAGAAAUGAACAACUAAGAUCAGAGCAGGAAAGAACAACAAGGCUGGUGUUGAGGAGCAGCAGGAAUUGAGGAGUGGCCAUCAUGCCAGAAAUCUGCAGGAGAAAAGGAGGCAGAAGCGUCCCAGAAUUCUGUGGUUCAACAAACCAGGAAUUCAGGGUCCAGGGGCACUAAAUAAUAUCCAUACCUUGUUUGGUGUGUGAUUUGCACAGUUUGGCUCCCAUGCUAUGAGCCUUUUAAGGACCUGGCUGGGUGUAUCCACUUCCAAGAAGGUUCAAUUCACAGUGCAUCAAACAGGAAAGGCCACCACCUCCUCCUGAAGCCCUCGAAUGGGACUGGAGAAUUAAGCAAAAACAUCCUCUUUCUUACAGUUCUAUCUUGUCUAAUUAGAUGUACGCAUCAGUACAUCUACUUAGUUAUAUUGUCACUUUUUUUAAAACAACCUACAAACUGGCAGAGCUUGACAAGGCUCUGAAUUACACGUGUAAGUGAAGAGCCAGCAGAUGGCGCCCUUUGUCGUUUAUUGAGGCUCUUACCCGCAGAGAAGAAUGUUGGCCUGGCUUCUUUCAUUUGAGUAGUACAAGUAGUGUUUUAACUGUUUAUUAUGCAUGAGCCAAAAGUCCAUGAAUGUGUAACAUUUUCUCCCAUAUUCCCCCUUUUAUAACAUCAUUUAAAUUCCUUAUUAAUAAUUUAAAAAUGUUCUGGAUUUUAAUCACUUUUCUCAUCACUAAAAUAUCUGAUGAAGAGAUAGGUUUUUUUUUCCCCCUGCUGAAGGUGAGAUAGAGGAAAUCAUCUGCGAGGAAGGAAGAAGAAACUCUCACUCUUAAAUCGAGCUCGCCACCCCCUCGAGCGCAUCACCCCAUCUUUUCAGUUUAAUUGAAUAGUAUUUAUUUAAUUAAUAAAAAUAUCUGUCUAGUGCAGGUUUCAGAAAUUCAAAGCUAGAAUAGGCUGCCAUUAAUAAAACAAGUUUUUUUUUUAUAUCCAAGUUUAAUUAUGGUGGUGUGUGUUUGAUAGCUUGUUACUGUAAAUAAAAGAGAUAAAGGCAGCCCUUCACUGGAGUAGCUGGAGAGCUGUGAAAUAUGUACCUAAUUAAAACUAUUGGUGUAAGAGGCUAAUAAAGUACAUGUGCC